rnacentral:misc_RNA from 1 species
GAGAUAGAUUGCACAUCGAAACGAGUGCUAUCAUAUACCAAAACAGGAAAAAUAACGCGUUUAUACCAGCCAAACGAUCAUUGUUUUUGUGCGGAAAACAUGAUAAAAGAGCUCUGAACUUUACUGGUAUAGUUGAUAAGACCACAGCUUGUCACCAAGUCUUCAAUCUCCUCUUGAGUAAAAUAGCUGUAUGUCCGUAGAGCACUCUGCUCCAAAGCCCUGAAUAUCGUAGGAGCUGAAGGAUUGACUCGAAGAAAUGUA